ACAACAGGCAUGCCCUAGUAACGGCGAGUGAAGCGGCAACAGCUCAAAUUUGAAAUCUGGCUCUUUCAGAGUCCGAGUUGUAAUUUGCAGAGGGCGCUUUGGCUUUGGCAGCGGUCCAAGUUCCUUGGAACAGGACGUCACAGAGGGUGAGAAUCCCGUACGUGGUCGCUAGCUAUUGCCGUGUAAAGCCCCUUCGACGAGUCGAGUUGUUUGGGAAUGCAGCUCUAAAUGGGAGGUAAAUUUCUUCUAAAGCUAAAUAUUGGCCAGAGACCGAUAGCGCACAAGUAGAGUGAUCGAAAGAUGAAAAGCACUUUGGAAAGAGAGUCAAACAGCACGUGAAAUUGUUGAAAGGGAAGCGCUUGCAGCCAGACUUGCUUGCAGUUGCUCAUCCGGGCUUUUGCCCGGUGCACUCUUCUGUAGGCAGGCCAGCAUCAGUUUGGGCGGUGGGAUAAAGGUCUCUGACACGUUCCUCUCUUCGGGGAGAGCAUAUAGGGGAGGCGUCAUACCACCAGCCUGGACUGAGGUCCGCGCAUCUGCUAGGAUGCUGGCGUAAUGGCUGUAAGCGGCCCGUCUUGAAACACGGACCAAGGAGUCUAACAUCUAUGCGAGUGUUUGGGUGUCAAGCCCGAACGCGUAAUGAAAGUGAACGGAGGUGGGAACCCGCAAGGGUGCACCAUCGACCGAUCCUGAAGUUUACGGAAGGAUUUGAGUAAGAGCAUGGCUGUUGGGACCCGAAAGAUGGUGAACUAUGCUUGAAUAGGGUGAAGCCAGAGGAAACUCUGGUGGAGGCUCGCAGCGGUUCUGACGUGCAAAUCGAUCGUCAAAUUUGGGCAUAGGGGCGAAAGACUAAUCGAACUAUCUAGUAGCUGGUUCCUGCC
rnacentral:rRNA from 1 species